rnacentral:rRNA from 1 species
AGAGUUCGUAACAGAUCACUGGUCAAGGGUUUCCGCACGGAAAAUAAACGGGGCUUAAGCACACCACCGAAGCUGCGAAUCUAUUCCAUUAAGUUGGAAUGGGUGGUAGGGGAGCGUUCUUAGUGCGCCGAAGUCAGGUCGUAAGGCCUGGUGGAGCGCUGAGAAGUGAGUAUGUUGGCAUAAGUAGCGACAAUGUCGGUGAGAAUCCGACACGCCGAAAGUCUAAGGUUUCCUACGCAACGCUGAUCGACGUAGGGUUAGGCGGGCCUAAGGUGUAGCCGAAUGGCGAAGCCGAUGGACAGCAGGUCAAAAUUCCUGCCCCGUUUUAGACAUGUUUGACCUUUGGAGGGGACGCGGACUGAUAAGUAACGCAUGCCUAUUGGAUAUGGUGUGUGCAUUUCUGUAAGUGAGUAGAGGGAGUUAAAAAGCCCUCUAUGUUUGAGCCGAGGGACGUGCGAACCACAAGGUUAGCCUUGUGGAACGUUACAGAUUCUAUGCCGCCUAGAAAAGCCUCCUUAGUUAAUGUUUAAGACGUCCGUACCGUAAACCGACACUGGUAGACAGGGAUAAAUGUCCCAAGGCGUUCGAGACAACCAUCGUUAAGGAACUCGGCAAAUUGACCCCGUAACUUCGGAAGAAGGGGGGCCUUUGAUGUAUUAGGACUUGCUCCGAAAAGCAUUGAAGGCCGCAGAGAAUAGGUUCGAGCAACUGUUUAUCAAAAACACAGGUCCGUGCUAAACCGUAAGGUGAUGUAUACGGGCUGACGCCUGCCCAGUGCCGGUAGGUUAAGGAAGUCGGUGAGAGCUGACGACUGAAGCCCCGGUGAACGGCGGCCGUAACUAUAACGGUCCUAAGGUAGCGAAGUUCCUUGUCGGGUAAGUUCCGACCCGCACGAAUGGCGUAAUGACUUGAACACUGUCUCAACGAUGGACUCGGUGAAAUUGCAGGACCCGUAAAGAUGCGGGUUACGCGCAGCAGGACAAAAAGACCCCGUGGAGCUUUACUGCAGCUUGGCAUUGGUUUGAGUUUUAAUUUGUGUAGGAUAGGCGGGAGACUUCGAAGCAGGUGCGCUAGCACUUGUGGAGUCGCCCUUGAAAUACCGCCCUAAUUACAGUUUGAAUCUAACUCGUAAGAGAACAGUGUCUGGUGGGCAGUUUGACUGGGGCGGUCGCCUCCCAAAGAGUAACGGAGGCGCACAAAGGUCACCUCAAGCUGGAUGGAAAUCAGCUUAAGAGCGUAUUGGUAUAAGGUGGCUUGACUGCGAGACUUACAAGUCGAGCAGGGACGAAAGUCGGUCAAAGUGAUCCCACGAUACCGUGUGGAAGGGUCGUGGCUUAACGGAUAAAAGCUACCCCGGGGAUAACAGGCUUAUCUCGCCCAAGAGUUCACAUCGACGGCGAGGUUUGGCACCUCGAUGUCGGCUCGUCCCAUCCUGGGGCUGAAGGCGGUCCCAAGGGUCCGGCUGUUCGCCGGUUAAAGGGGUACGUGAGUUGGGUUCAGAACGUCGUGAGACAGUUCGGUCUCUAUCCGCCGUGGGCGCAGGAGGCUUGAGGGAACCUCUUCCUAGUACGAGAGGACCGGAAGGGAUAGACCUAUGGUGUGCCAGUUGUUCCGCCAGGAGCAGCGCUGGGUAGCCAUGUCUAGUAUUGAUAAGCGCUGAAGGCAUCUAAGCGCGAAGCUGCCCCCAAGAUGAGGCCUCCCUUUCCUAUUAAGUUAGGAAGUAAGACUGCAGAGAGACUAUCUGCUUGAUAGGCCGGAUGUGUAAGGAUAGUAAUAUCUUCAGCAUACCGGUACUAACCGGUCGAGAGGCUUGACC